rnacentral:rRNA from 1 species
UACAGAGGGUGCGAGCGUUAAUCGGAAUUACUGGGCGUAAAGCGUGCGUAGACGGUUGCAUAAGUCGGAUGUGAAAUCCCCGGGCUCAACCUGGGAAUUGCAUUCGAGACUGUGUAGCUGGGGUGCGGAAGAGGGAAGCGGAAUUUCCGGUGUAGCGGUGAAAUGCGUAGAGAUCGGAAAGAACACCAACGGCGAAAGCACUCUGCUGGGCCGACACUGACACUGAGAGACGAAAGCUAGGGGAGCGAAUGGG